GUCUACAUGAAUUAUUAGGACGCGCUAUAGUCAGCGAUGCAAGAACCUUCGAGAUCAUAAUUACAACGUGUCUUUAGAGCCAGUGCACAUCAAUUUUUGUGCAACAGACACGGCGGAAAUGACUGAAAUAUUUACUCCGACCAAGGUUAAUCGAUAAUACCACAUAUGUGUUCUUAUUUCCGUGUGAUAAAAAUUUUCUACUUUCAAUAAUCGUAAACUACAAUUCAUUUUUAAUUUAUUUAACAAAGGUCUAUUUUGAAUUAAAAUAAAAAUUGAAAUAUUAGAAAUAUAUUAUUCAAUGAUAGGAAAUGGAUAAAUAAAAAUAGGAAGAAGAAGAAGAACGUACAGUUCUUUAUAAUGAGAUAAAAAGUAAAAUGAUUUAGUAGAAUGUAAAGUAGAAUGAUUUAAAAUAUGAAUAUACAAUGCUGGAACAUCAAGAUCGAGUAGAGGAGAUCCGGAAGCGUCUCCUCGAGAGUUCAAAGACCUUUUGAACAGAAAUAAUUGCACUCUAAAUGAGCGUCGGAAAGCAGUCCAAGACACGUUUAUUGUGAUUAAUAGUGGACACUGGUUAAGCACUAUACUGUAUUUAGUGCUCAUGUGAACAGAGUUGCACAGAGAACAGAGAGAACUGAAGUCAAUAUAUACAACGUCAAAGAAACUUACUAUAAUGAUAUAAUAAUAGUAAAAUAAUAUUCUUCGAAAUUGGAAGUUUCAUUGAUAUUUUCUUAUGCAAGUAUAAUAAGUCGUAAAAGGUUUCCUUUAUCCGAUUAUACGAGGCAAAGCGUGAUUUUCAUUCACCGUGAAAUGGUCGAGUAAAAGAGUUAAAUAUCACAAGAGCGCCACAUGAGAAAGGAAGAUAACGCAAAUCGAUAUCGCCAAUCGCUGCCGCAGAGUUGAUGGUAAUCAACUGUGUCUAUACGAUGUUAAUAGCAUCGUCAUUCGUCCAAACAAACCGCAUCUGGUGUUAAAGAAACGAGGAACAUAUUACUCCAUGUCUACAAUUAAACUUAGCUUCGUGUCACUGAAUUGAACAAAAGAUGAAACAAUUUAAAGUGUCUGAAUUUCUAUCAUUCAUAACGUAAUAAGAAAAGAAAAUUAGAAAAUGAAGUUCUAGAUUUUAUUAAGUUGUCGCCUAUGAAACGUUUCUGCACAGUUUGAAUUUGGCGGACCAAUCAUAUCCAUUAAAUAAAACAAUAGUAAGAAAACUAAUUAGUUAUUGAAAAAAAUAUUAAUUAUGUAGAAAUCAUUGUAAUUAAAAGAAACUAUGUGCGCUUACUGUUCUACAUAAAUGUCUGAAAAAACAACAUUUCAUACAUAUGUAUAUACCAACCUAAUAAAAGAGAAACAUUAAAAGAG